UAAAACACGAACAUGGGAGAGCCACAAUUAACUGUUUAUUCAAAGUUGGGUUUUGUAGACCUGAGUCUUGGAGCGGAUCCAAUAUAAUCAUUUUGCGUUUUGUAGAGAUGAGUUUUGUAGAUAUGAUACCAAUUUCAAAAUCUGGGUUCUGCUUUUGUAGAUCUGGAUUAUCAAGAUCUGACAUCUCUCUUUUCUCAGCUUCUUCAACAACAGUGUACGACAGUGCGUGAAAGAGGAUGUAUGAUGACAGAUGUGUAUCGAUCGACGAUGGUGCUAAAAGAACAUGGGGAGAAGGGAAAGAAAAUAAAAAGAAAGAGAUAUAAGUCUACAACUAUGGUGGCCAAAAUCGCCCAAGGGAGAAGAAAAGAAAAGAAGGAGAAAGAUAAAAGUUUAAAUACUAAUUAACGAUAUUAACAAAGGUUGGAGAAAAAUAUAUUUUAUGACGAUUAAAAAGGAUCAAUAUUUAAAUAUAAAUAUUAAUUAAUGGUGUUAAUUUUAAAUUGAUGAAAAUAUUGUUUUUAAUCAUUUAAAAAAAGAUAAAGAUACAAAUAAAUUUUUUAAAAGAUAAAAAAUUAAAA
rnacentral:lncRNA from 1 species